rnacentral:lncRNA from 1 species
AAGAAAAUUAAAUAACAAUAACGAGGUUAUAUACAGGGUAUUACGGUACAGAGUCAAUGUGGAGGCUAUAUACAGGGUAUUACGGUACAGAGUCAAUGUGGAGGCUAUAUACAGGGUGUUACGGUACAGAGUCAAUGUGGAGGCUAUAUACAGGGUGUUACGGUACAGAGUCAAUGAGGAGGCUAUAUACAGGGUGUUACGGUACAGAGUCAAUGUGGAGGCUAUAUACAGGGGGUACUGGUACAGAGUCAAUGUGGAGGCUAUAUACAGGGUGUUACGGUACAGAGUCAAUGUGGAGACUAUAUACAGGGUGUUACAGUACAGAGUCAAUGUGGAGGCUAUAUACAGGGUGUUACGGUACAGAGUCAAUGUGGAGGCUAUAUACAGGGGGUACCGGUACAGAGUCAAUGUGGAGGCUAUAUACAGGGUGUUACGGUACAGAGUCAAUGUGGAGGCUAUAUACAGGGGGUACCGGUACAGAGUCAAUGUGGAGGCUAUAUACAGGGUGUUACGGUACAGAGUCAGUGUGGAGGCUAUAUACAGGGGGUACCGGUACAGAGUCAGUGUGGAGGCUAUAUACAGGGUGUUACGGUACAGAGUCAAUGUGGAGGCUAUAUACAGGGUGUUACGGUACAGAGUCAAUGUGGAGGCUAUAUACAGGGUGUUACGGUACAGAGUCAAUGUGGAGGCUAUAUACAGGGGGUACCGGUACAGAGUCAAUGUGGAGGCUAUAUACAGGGG